AAUCGGAAUUACUGGGCGUAAAGCGUGCGCAGGCGGUUAUGUAAGACAGAUGUGAAAUCCCCGGGCUCAACCUGGGAACUGCAUUUGUGACUGCAUGGCUAGAGUACGGUAGAGGGGGAUGGAAUUCCGCGUGUAGCAGUGAAAUGCGUAGAUAUGCGGAGGAACACCGAUGGCGAAGGCAAUCCCCUGGACCUGUACUGACGCUCAUGC
rnacentral:rRNA from 1 species